rnacentral:rRNA from 1 species
GACGAACGCUGGCGGCGUGCUUAACACAUGCAAGUCGAACGGUGAAGCGCCUUCCUUUUUGGUGGGUGUGGAUGAGUGGCGAACGGGUGAGUAACACGUGAGUAACCUGCCCCCUUCUCCUGGAUAACCGCAUGAAAGUGUGGCUAAUACGGGAUAUUCUGGGUCUGUCGCAUGAUGGGUCUGGGAAAGAUAUUGUUUCGGUGGGGGAUGGGCUCGCGGCCUAUCAGCUUGUUGGUGGGGUGAUGGCCUACCAAGGCGGUGACGGGUAGCCGGCCUGAGAGGGUGGACGGUCACACUGGGACUGAGACACGGCCCAGACUCCUACGGGAGGCAGCAGUGGGGAAUAUUGCACAAUGGGCGCAAGCCUGAUGCAGCGACGCCGCGUGAGGGAUGGAGGCCUUCGGGUUGUGAACCUCUUUCGCCAGUGAGGCAGGCCUGCCUCGUUUGUGGGUGGGUUGACGGUAGCUGGAUAAGAAGCGCCGGCUAACUACGUG